ACGGGCCAAGCUCACGCGUCCGCGGAAAGCGACCUUGGUCGGUGGCAUUGCUGGAGGUAUUGAAAUGUGUAUUGCCAUUGUAAAAAUGCAAUUACAGUUGGAUGAAAAAGCAAAUCCUUGUCUGUCUGGAAGUACAGAUCAUUGCAUGAAGUUAGCUGUCCAAGAUCAUGGUGCUUAUGACCUGUACAGGGGCCUCAGCUCCCUUCUGUAUGGCUCUGUUCCAAAAUUUGCUGUCAGGUAAAUUGAACUACAUAGUAGCUAUGGUUAGAAAACCCCAAAGACUUGUGGAACAGCUUUUCUGAUUGAUUAUUGCUUAUUACCAGUAACAAUAAAUAGCUGCUGGAUGGUGUUUAUUCGCAGAUCUCUGAGUAUUAAACAAGAUGGAUUUUUGUUGUUUUUCUCACAUUUUACUGGUAUUAGGAUGAAGUAUGAGACCCCAGCCGUCUUUGUAUUGUAACUUUUUGCAGAUUGUUAGCUCGGACUAACUCCUGAGGAUGAGAGGAAAGGGAAGAUAAAGGAAUGUCAUGUUUGGUUACAGAGUGUAAUGAUGAAUAUAUAAGCUUCGAAGAAGCUUACCUGUUACUAAGAGUGCUAUUUAGGAUUGUAAAUCUGUAUUUCUGAUUAUGUGAACAGCACUGGACCUGAGAUUCUGGAUUGGACUGAUCUAAGCAGUAUGUCUUGCCCUCGUUAGUUUAGCCUGUUCCCUUGCCAAGGCAGAAGUGCCACAUUUACUUUAAGGAUAUAACCUUUCAUCCAGUGUGCCUUGUUGCUUAAUGCACUUCUUGGGGACUUUCCUUGAGAUUUAGGAAUGGGAAUAAGGCUAUUCCCAUUCAGAGGCAGUCAGUUCUCUUUCAUAUUUUUUUGUAGUGAUUUCUUAGUAUUAGCUUGAGAAGAUUCCACAUAGAAUAAAUUCACUGCCUA